GAUGAACGCUGGCGGCGUGCCUAAUACAUGCAAGUCGAGCGAACAGACGAGGAGCUUUCUCCUCUGACGUUAGCGGCGGACGGGUGAGUAACACGUGGAUAACCUACCUAUAAGACUGGGAUAACUUCGGGAAACCGGAGCUAAUACCGGAUAAUAUAUUGAACCGCAUGGUUCAAUAGUGAAAGACGGUUUUGCUGUCACUGAUAGAUGGAUCCGCGCCGCAUUAGCUAGUUGGGAAGGUAACGGCUUACCAAGGCGACGAUGCGUAGCCGACCUGAGAGGGUGAUCGGCCACCCGGGAACUGAGACAGGGUCCAGACUCCUGCGGGAGGCAGCAGUAGGGAAUCUUCCGCAAUGGGGGAAAGCCUGACGGAGCAACGCCGCGUGAGUGAUGACGGUCCUAGGAUCGGAAAACUCUGUUAGUAGGGAAAAACAAAUGUGUAAGUAACUAUGCCCGUAUUGACGGUACCUAAUGAAAAAGCCACGGCUAACUACGUG
rnacentral:rRNA from 1 species